rnacentral:rRNA from 1 species
UACGAAGGGGGCUAGCGUUGUUCGGAUUUACUGGGCGUAAAGCGCACGUAGGCGGUUUGUUAAGUCAGGGGUGAAAUCCCGGAGCUCAACUCCGGAACUGCCUUUGAUACUGGCAAGCUAGAGUCCGGAAGAGGUAAGUGGAACUCCUAGUGUAGAGGUGGAAUUCGUAGAUAUUAGGAAGAACACCAGUGGCGAAGGCGGCUUACUGGUCCGGAACUGACGCUGAGGUGCGAAAGGCGUGGG